rnacentral:lncRNA from 1 species
AAUUGAACACUUGCUAGUGCUUGCCUCCUGUGUCCAUCAGUGUUGGUGGCACUGUAGUUCCUUCGGGGGCAUUUACUGUGGCUCGUGUGAAAGGAGUCAACCACAAUUGGCAAUUAGAAGAGGGCAUUGGAUCUCCUGAAACUGGAGUUAUAGAUGGUUUUGAACCACCAUGUGGGUGCUGGGAAUUGAACCAGGGUCCUCUGCAACAGCAACAAGUGCUUUCAAAAAAUGUUGGCUCAUUUCUUCAGUCCCAGGAAAUGAUAGCUUUUUUUUUUUUUUUUUUGAAGAAUUAUCUAUUAUAUGUAUACGAGCACACUGUAGCUGUCUUCAGACACACCCUAAGGGGGCAUCGGAUCCCAUUACAGAUGGUUGUGAGCCACUACAUGGUUGCUGGGAAUUGAACUCAGGACCUCUGGAAGAGCAAGACAGUGCUCUUAACCACUGAGCCAUCUCUAACCCGAAACGAUAGCUUUAGCAAAUAAAAAUUUGUUUUCAGUUAGUGUCUGAAGUGGUGAUUAACGUUGCUGUAAUCAUGGGGGCGCGCAGCGGACCUGUCUCCCCUUUGCUUUACAGACAGGGAGGAGGAGGAAGUGAACAAACGAGACGACAAAAGGGACGUCAGCCGAUACUGCAAGGACAGACCCUCAAAGGACAAGGUGGGCUUUCCUCUGUCUGCUUGGGAUAAUGGCAUUCUUGAAUUCCAUACCUUAACACUUCCUUACCUUACACUUACUGCUAUG